rnacentral:lncRNA from 1 species
CCUCAUAUCUAAUUUUGUUACCCAUUAAUUGAAGUAGUAUAUAUAGAGGUUAACUUUUUGUGUAACACUUAAAGAGGUUAAUUAGUAUAUAGGAUUAUAAAUGGCUUAACGAGUAAGAAAAUGUCCAGGCGAAAUGGUAUAGGGGCAUGGUCUAGACGCAAACGACAACGAGAGUUCAAAACAAUAUUGUGGUUACAUGAACUACCACGUGUCCGGACUCA